UCAAAAUGACGUUUUAUCAUUUUUGUAUCAAUCUGAUAAAUAAAUUUAAAAUUAAAUUAUUUAUAUAAAUAAAUUUUUUUUUUACAUUAAUCAGGAAAAGCACUCCUCAGGCCUCCCACUCAAUUGAGACUUCCAAAAAUAGAGAGAAAAUACCCAACGCGAACACCAGCCAUCCUCCCACUCGAUUGAGGCUUCUGGAAAUAGAAAACAGAUAGGAAGUACCCAACGAGAAACCCCAGCACCUGUCGUCCAACCCUAUUUGGCCGUCCCAAGCCUCCCACCCGGUUGGGACUCCUGAGGACACAAAAAGGGAGAGGAAAAUAGGACGAAAAUAGAGGAAAAAUCCACAAAAGUAGAAGAAAGACAGAAAUAAAUUUAAGAAAAUGAUGCUCGGUAGAUCGAUCUGUCAUAAAGAGUUGUUUGAACACACUCACAAGAGAAAAGAUGGUACCUUUACAUUUGAGAAAGCAAAGAUAGUGAAUGAGAAAUAUGAUACUAUCAUAUGAUAGAAGUAUGGUGUGGACCUAUCUUCCCAUCCUUCUUUGGAUGAGGAGGCUUGGUUGGCUGCUGCGGGACUUUCUAAAAAAGCCACAUUCGAACGAUGAGGUGACGAGGGAGAUGCAUCUUAUAUGGGAGAAUAUGGAUAAGUUAAAUCAAAAUAUUCAAGUACAACAAAAUUCAAUAGUGGGUUGCUUCUCCUGGAUGGAUGCCACCACACCCAUACACUCCAUCGACAUUUCCUUCGAUGGCUUAAACUCCAACUCGACCUGAGGGCUCUACUUUGAAGCAGCAUGCAUCAGAGGAAGAUAGAAGUGGACAUAGCUAUGGUGGAGGGGAUACACAUUUAGGCACUUCAUAGUUUGUUGUGUGCUUUAUUAUGUGCCACUUGUCUCAUUUUAUAUACUUUAUUGUUUGGGUAUUUCAUGUGUUUUGGAUAUAUAUGAUUGACAUUAUAUGUAUUCUAUGGCAUUUGCACAUACUUAUGGUGUUGUGAACACUAUAAUUUAUUGAUUUUGGAUAAAAUAUUAUAAAUUCCAUGAUUGAG